rnacentral:rRNA from 1 species
GACGAACGCUGGCGGCGCGCCUAACACAUGCAAGUCGAACGGAGUUGUUUGAAAGCUUGCUUUUGGAUAACUGAGUGGCGGACGGGUGAGUAACGCGUGAGUAACCUGCCUUAAAGAGGGGGAUAACGUCUGGAAACGGACGCUAAUACCGCAUGACAUACGGACAUGGCAUCAUGAUCGUAUCAAAGGAGCAAUCCGCUUUAAGAUGGACUCGCGUCCAAUUAGCUGGUUGGUGAGGUAACGGCCCACCAAGGCAACGAUCGGUAGCCGGACUGAGAGGUUGAACGGCCACAUUGGGACUGAGACACGGCCCAG